AUGGAUUGCCUCCAGAGUGAUAGACAGCUAAUUUCAGCUCAUAUUGAAAAGCUAAAGAACCGAGGUACACUCUGCGAAACCCAGGACCCGGGCCGCACAGAGCCCUCAACUUUGGCCGGCAGCGACUCCCCGGACACGAGGUCCUAUAUGGCACUUCCGACGUCACUGGGCCAUGGAACAGCGAGGUUCAGGCUGCCGGUCCCAGACUGGGGUGGAAUGGUGCUAAGGUGAACCCAAAGCCCCUCGUCUGGCUGGCUCGGGGGAGCCUCCGCGGACGGCCGCGGUCCCGGCGACCCCGAUCAUGUCAUUUCGUAGUGGAUGAACCGUAAGUUUGUGCCCGGAUUUUUAUAUGUAGGUUUUUGUGUACUGAUGCUUUCCAUUAAGUUUAUUGGAACAUUUUAGGUAUACAGUACAGUUACAGUCCUCACUGGGAACUUGUACCUUUACAUGGUGCAUCUUGUUCUUAUUUUUUCCCCAUUCCCCUGCCCUCCCUUCGAAUUCUCCAGCCCUCCUGAUUUACAAAGACUUUGUUUCCAUUUUUCCUUUUCUCGUAUUUUUUCCUUUCCCUUCUCCUACUUCCUCUACACCAUUUAGACCUUUUUUUCCUAUUUCACAUUAUCAAUUAGAUGCUUUUAUUUUUAUUGGACAGCUAUCAAUAUACUCUAGUGUUUUCACCUGAAAACAUUAAAGGAAGAGCGACAGAUGCAUUCUUUCUCCUUUCUCACCUCAUCAAGAGAAAUAUUAAUUCCAGUUUGCAAAAAUUGAGAUGUCAU
rnacentral:lncRNA from 1 species